CCUCAUGUUAAUUCAACAUGUAAAACUCAAAGUUCAAGUAAAAUCUCCAAGACCAACUUGGGAUUCAUGAAAAAUCCAGAAAUGAGAACAAAAUGCUCAAGAUCUCACCCCUGCUGGGCACAAAUGAUAGCAAAAGCAACAUGGUUGGUCGGAUGGUCUUCUUUUGUCAGUGGUAGAACUCUACUAGGGCGGAGUACAAGGAAAUGACACUGUAGGGAAUCAUUCAGCGUUUAGUACACGAAGCUUUAACUGUAGCUUGAUAUUUUUGAUGAGGCCACUCGCUUUUGUUAUGUCAAGAGAUCAAAGCUACACCAAAAAUAUGAAAUUGUGAACGUGUCACUGGCUACCUCAAACCGCUGUCUUGGGGUACAUGUAUAUGGACAUACCUUCUACCAUUGAACUAGCUCAACUUCAGAUGAUACAAAGCCACCUGCAGCCUCAGAUUUUCAUCUAUCUCACAAUUGCGUAUAGACAAAAGGGCUCUGCAACGCACUCAACAGCUGCUGUGGUAGAGUGUGGAUGUAAACUGUAUUAUCAGAUUAAGCUUUAAUCUGAUUACCUGACAAAGAAACAAUGGCUGAACAGGGGAGUGGACUUCUUACAGUUCUUUCGUGGAAUGUAAAUGGACUUAAGAAAAAAGUAAAGAAAGUUAAAACACUUCUUGACAAAAGGAACAUUGACAUAAUGUGCCUGACAGAGACAAAGGCAAACCCAACUCACCAAUAUGAUAGCCAAUUUCCAGAUUUUGCAGUGAUUGGAAAGUCAGUUAACAAGUUGGCUGAAUCAAAGCAACCAUCAUUUCCGGGAGGCCUUUUGUUUGCCUACCGAGAAUCACUGCCUUACAAAUUUUCAAAGAUUCCGAAUAAAUCUCAUUUUAUUCUUUGGGUGAAAGCAGACCCCAAAAAGCCUGAAUCGAAUGUACAGAUGGUAUUUGCAGUUAUAUACAACCCCCCGUCCCACAAAACUACAAAAGAUGAGAUCCUCUCUAUCAUGGAAAGAGAGUAUAAGAUUUUGGCUGAUGAGCACAAGGAGGCUAAAUUUUAUCUCACUGGAGAUCUAAACGCAUAUACCUAUCAGAAACUUGAUUAUCCUGAAGGAAGUGUGAGUGAUCUGCAAGAAAGAACAUUUGAAACAGACAACAAAAACACCAAAAAGCAAGCCAGCAAUUCUGGAGAAACGCUAUUGGACUUCUGUAAAAGAACAGGCUUUCGUAUAGCAAAUGGCAGAUUUGGGAAUAAAUCUAACAGGCUCACUACUCGAAGCCACACUCUGGAUUACUUGCUCUGCAGGGAGAAGGAUUGGAGUUUUAUACUAGACUUUAAAGUUGAUGGUAUGUACAAAUCAAACCAUAAAGCUCUUAUUUUCACUCUAGACACCAAAAGAAGUGAAUGUCGUACAUGUACACGUACCAGUGAGGUUAGGUUUACACUUAAAUGUACACCAAUGCAGCAGUCAGAUGAGUUUGAUAUGAUUUGGUACCUGCAGACACUGCAAGAACUAACAUCAAUCCCAGAUGGAUUCGUAGAGGCAAGUAAGCAAUGCAACUACCAAAGUGAGGUGUCCAAUAUAUGUAUACAAGAGCCAUUUUUUUUGCAGUACAAACUCCAACCUGUAACAAAGCUACAGAAAGAAUCUGGCAAUCGCAUGAUGCACUGCUUCUCAGUCGCACCGUGUUCAGAUCCCCUGCUUGUUGAAAGCAUACUAUGCUUCUAUCUUCUAUACUGCUCAAGCAUUAACAACAUGAUCAGCGUGGUGGAAGAAAAUGUGAUAGCAGCAUACAGGCACUGUUUCAAAAACUACCCAGGGUGUUUAUUCACAUUUGUAGGUGCUUUCAUAUUGGCAACUGAAAUUACACCAGAAAACAUAAAUACCGACCUUAAUACAACAGCCUUGACAAGAAUACUGAACGAAGUUAAUAAAACUGGAACUCACGAUCAAAGAAAAGAGUACAAUAAGUUAAUCCCCAUCAAACUUGAAAAUCAACCAGAUAAGCAAAUUGUGAUUUGGAAAUUUGCUUUCAGACAAGAAUUCCAAACAGCGAUAACUCCAGCUUUUGAUCUUGAUAUAAGCUUUGCAGGCCAUCAGUGAAGUAAUGAGUAGAUCUUCUAAGAAUAAAGACAGAAGUGUCUCAUUUAUUUGAGUAUGCGUAAAGAUUGCAAUAGAAAAACAAAGCUCUACAAACACAAGUCAAUGAAAAGCGACUCCAGUAUUUUUCAUCAGCAUCAACCAUAUCACAUCCAAUGAUAUGCAAUUUCUUUCUGCACAAAUUCAUGGGAGUAAUGAGUGCACAUAAUGUAGCGGAUAGUGUGUCAUUAUGGAGUUGCCGUCAUUCAGAGAUUCUCAUUACCUUUUUCCAGUAAUCUAAGAGUAGGCCCACAGUGGAACUGCUUGAGUGUAAAUGCCAAGCAAAGUUAACUAUCAGAUUGAACAUCUGAAACUCACAUGAACUGCAAUCAGAAAUUUGUGAACAGGCUUUCAUGCUUUUUAGAAUAGCUACCGGUAAUUUUGAUUUUCCUUUUGGUACUAAAGGCAGCACAUUCAAAGCUAUACCUAAAGGUAGAUUUCAUCAUUACCAAGGCUCCAAAAGAAGCUACAUAAAGAAAAUUGCAUGUACCUGUCAGUUUUGCUGAAUUAUGUAUGUAUAUGCCAAUGCUAAUGUAGCAAAUUCCAGUGAAGAUAUCAAUAGUUUUAGACUUAAAAGGGCAAAAAUUAGCUUCCUAAUCUCAAUUGGGAACAGUUGUUUUUGUUAAAGUUUUUUCCCCCUUUUUUCCUUUUUUUUCUUGUCCCGCAUUUUUAUUCUACAAGGUACUUUUAUUUUAAGUCCCAUCAAUUUCAAACUUGGUAUAGCAAUUAACCAUCAUCAGAAGAUGUGCCCUUAAACUUUUUGUAAUUGUGACGUCAUCAGGGGUCACGUGACCUCAAUUCAAAAGUUCAUUCUUUACAGUCUAAUAACUAGUAAACUAUUUGACAGAUUUAACUCAAAUUUGGUAUGCACAUAGGGAAGUGUUAUAGACGAAAAUUUAUAUCUUGACCCCAUGUGACCUCUACUUCCGGUUUGACCGGAAGUUGUAUUUUAACACACAAAUCAUCAUAUCUCAUGAACUAUAAGUUCAAUUGCAGUGAUAAUUUGUUUUUCGUUAUACAUGCCACUUUGGCAAUUAUUUUUAAUCCAAUUCAUUGCAAACUUAUGAUACUCAUUGACAGUCAUCAAAAGACAAUAAAAAACUUCACAAACACAUUUAAUAAUAAUAAUAAUGCAUUUAUAUUGCACACAAACCAUAUAAAUGUUCUAAUGCGCAUUACAAAUAUAUAUAGGCCUAAUGCACAGAUUACACAGUAGUACAAAGUCAUACCAUUGAUAAUGUACAUAUUGGUACAAGGGAAAAUGGUAACAGUUUUACAAUGGCUUCCAGAUUCCAAAGGCAUACAUGUAUUGUACAAGUACACCUACAUGUAUAUGAAUGGCCCAUACAUGACCCUGACCCUAACUCAAGGUAGAUUUAUCUACUACAAUGGGUCUCCAAUUAUGAUGGAGCAAAUGGGAAACCCCCUGAUGAGAAACUAGCCACUGCAUUCUCAAAUUGUGUUACAUGUACCUGUUCCUGCUGUAUGCAACAAAGAUAUGGAAUUUAGAGAUCAGUCAAACAAGUGUUUAUAGAAAUGCAGGAUUCACACUCUUAGAUUCCAGCAAGCAUACAACUUUAAAAACCUUCCAUAAAAUGGAUUGGGAGGAUAGGUUUAUUUUUUUGGGGUGGGGGGAAUUUACAGGAAACAUGUUAAGAGCCACAGCUUUUAUACAGCAGACAAUGAUGGACAAAUAGGACACCAUUUAAGAUUUUUAAGAUUAAGGUUAUAUAAUUUUCUCACCGGCUGAAACAACUAAGACCCCUUGAUUAUCUACCAAAAGUGAGGUACAAUAUUUUUUUCAUAAUACAUGCAGUAUUCAGACAAAAAAAGAUAGUGUUGAGAAUGUUGCAAUGCAACACAAGUAGGUCCUCCUGAUGUGCAUGACAAAUAUGCUUAUGUACGUAUACAUAUGAAGGUGAUAUUCUCUAUUAUAAAAGUGACAACAUUAACAAUUUUUUAUGUAGACCACAGAAAUUCACUGUAAACAUUGUAACCCUAUUUUAAAAUUCACAGUAACCUUUCGAACUGAUCUACCAGUAAUAUGUAUGUGUAUAUUUUAAACAAUGCUUGCAAACUACAGAACUUUUCAAACUACAGAACAGACUCACAAUGAUUUCUUCUUUUGAUGCCGUUUUAAUAUAACUUGUAUGACAGUAAUACAAACUGUAAGUUGAAUAUGCUAUAAAAUAUAAAGAGGACAUAAUGUAAGCUACGUUAGGAAUUUAAUGCAGGGUGCAAUCAACUAAACUUUUACCUGUGGCUUAAUCUGAUUGACACCCAAACUGAAAUUUAUGUACAGUAUAAUUUUAAAAUCCAGUGACGAUUUGUAUAUGUUGUAGACUAAAGUAUAAAGAGGCAAUCAUACCUAACUGAAAAUGUUUUCCUUUUUUCCGUGUACCCGUAGUUUGUGGUAAAUGUACACAUAUAUUACAUCUUCUUUAUUUCAUAAAUGACAACAGNGAAAAAAAAUUGGUUUAAGGCUUAAUUGCUCCUAAUUCAUUGUAGUCAUUAUUCUAUUUAUUAAUUCAUAGCAACCACUGAAAUCUUGUAAAGUUGUAAACUUAGCAGUGCACACAUGGAUUUCUAAAAUAAUGUUUUAAUCAAUGUUAUUGAAAUAAAGCUUAUGACAUGACUUGAAUGACAAACGAUAUACUGUAAGUUGAAUCUGUAUUAUUUAUACAUGAUAUAAUGCGAGCUUCUUUAUGCAUUGGAGGGGAUACGUCAAUGUAAAGGUACAUUUAAAUGUAAUUUAUGUCUCUGACACAAUUUGAUUUGCACCCAAACUGAUUUUGAUGUCUCGCCUUUAAUUUCUACAUGUUGCAGACUAUACAGUUAGACUUACAUUAUGCACAAAAGGGAAAACAUUUCCUUUUUUCAUGAUGUAUUGGCAAUAAAUAAAACACAAGUUUUCAAAUGUGAAUUGAUGG
rnacentral:misc_RNA from 1 species